UAACACGUGANCAANCUGCCCUAUACAACGGGAUAACACAGAGAAAUUUGUGCUAAUACGGUAUAAGACCACAGUAUCGCAUGAUACAGGGGUAAAAGAUUUAUCGGUAUAGGAUGGGCUCGCGACCCAUUAGCUAGUUGGUGAGGUAACGGCCCACCAAGGCAACGAUGGGUAGCCGACCUGAGAGGGUGAUCGGCCACACUGGGACUGAGACACGGCCCAGACUCCUACGGGAGGCAGCAGUGGGGAAUAUUGGGCAAUGGAGGCAACUCUUACCCAGCAAUGCCGCGUGAAUGAAGAAGGUCUUCGGAUUGUAAAGUUCUUUAAUUGGGGACGAAAAAAAUGACGGUACCCAAGGAAUAAGCCCCGGCUAACUACGUGCCAGCAGCCGCGGUAAUACGUAGGGGGCAAGCGUUGUUCGGAAUGACUGGGCGUAAAGGGUGUGUAGGCGGUGUAGCAAGUUAGAAGUGAAAUACCUAGAGCUUAACUCAGGUGCUGCUUCUAAAACUGCUAUACUUGAGUGCAGUAGAGGAAAGUGGAAUUCCUAGUGUAGCGGUGGAAUGCGUAGAUAUUAGGAGGAACAUCAGUGGCGAAGGCGACUUUCUGGACUGUAACUGACGCUGAGGCACGAAAGUGUGGGGAGCAAACAGGAUUAGAUACCCUGGUAGUCCACACUGUAAACGAUGGAUACUAGGUGU
rnacentral:rRNA from 1 species